rnacentral:rRNA from 1 species
AUUGAACGCUGGCGGCAUGCCUUACACAUGCAAGUCGAACGGCAACAGGUCUUCGGAUGCUGACGAGUGGCGAACGGGUGAGUAAUACAUCGGAACGUGCCUAGUAGUGGGGGAUAACUACUCGAAAGAGUGGCUAAUACCGCAUGAGAUCUACGGAUGAAAGCAGGGGAUCGCAAGACCUUGUGCUACUAGCGCAGCCGAUGGCAGAUUAGGUAGUUGGUGGGAUAAAAGCUUACCAAGCCGACGAUCUGUAGCUGGACUGAGAGGACGAUCAGCCACACUGGGACUGAGACACGGCCCAGACUCCUACGGGAGGCAGCAGUGGGGAAUUUUGGACAAUGGGCGCAAGCCUGAUCCAGCAAUGCCGCGUGCAGGAUGAAGGCCUUCGGGUUGUAAACUGCUUUUGUACGGAACGAAAAGCCCUGGGUUAAUACCCUGGGGUCAUGACGGUACCGUAAGAAUAAGCACCGGCUAACUACGUGCCAGCCGCCGCUGUAACAC